rnacentral:rRNA from 1 species
GACGAACGCUGGCGGCGUGCUUAACACAUGCAAGUCGAACGGAAAGGCCCUGCUUUUGUGGGGUGCUCGAGUGGCGAACGGGGGAGUAACACGUGAGUAACCUGCCCUUGACUUUGGGAUAACUUCAGGAAACUGGGGCUAAUACCGGAUAGGAGCUCCUGCUGCAUGGUGGGGGUUGGAAAGUUUCGGCGGUUGGGGAUGGACUCGCGGCUUAUCAGCUUGUUGGUGGGGUAGUGGCUUACCAAGGCUUUGACGGGUAGCCGGCCUGAGAGGGUGACCGGCCACAUUGGGACUGAGAUACGGCCCAGACGCCUACGGGAGGCAGCAGUGGGGAAUAUUGCACAAUGGGCGGAAGCCUGAUGCAGCAACGCCGCGUGCGGGAUGACGGCCUUCGGGUUGUAAACCGCUUUCGCCUGUGACGAAGCGUGAGUGACGGUAAUGGGUAAAGAAGCACCGGCUAACUACGUG